rnacentral:lncRNA from 1 species
UGCACUUGGUGUGAGAUUGUCUUUCGAGUCGACAUUACUGGUGAUAACAGACCUCUUCUGCACUGUCACGGCCCAAAGAAGGCCUCCCGAACCAAGACUUGCCGAGAUUCGCCGUUGGUGUAGAAUAGCUUCCCGAACGCGCCGCACCUGCAUGUGAGCCGGCUAUUUCUCCCAUUUUACAGCGGAGACCGUGCAGAGCUUGUAGUCUCAGCGGACGUGCCCCUGAUCUGUAGGGUCAUAGCAAGCCGCCCGUCCACCAUCGCGGGACAUGCACCUCUCUGCUUUCUUCCGCCGGUGAGGGUGUUGUAAGUCUUGGAUACCGAUAAUGGGAAUAUAGAGCUAUAAUUUGCAAAAGCUAGCGCAUGCUUUUCCCUGCAUGCUGUGUAGCUUGCAUGGCAGACUUUCGAUGGGAUGGUGCUGAGAGUCAGACCGACCCGGAGACAAGCGAGGGAACUUGCAUCUAGUUGUCUUGCGCGAUUGGCAAGGUGUUACUGCAUUGACAGCCGCUUUCUGGGUCUUUAUACGGGGCUUUGCUGGCGAUACCGAAAUUUUAACUCGAGGGAUGGCGUCAUCCUGGGCACCCAUCCUUGUUCAGAGGGUACACUGAGUUUUAGUCACGUCACUUGAUGAUGUCAGAGAUGGAAAUUUAGUGUUGGGACACACAAAAUGCUUCAGGGUCACCUUGCAAUUAUCCUGAGAAGGGCGCACACAACGCGUUUUCAAGCUGAUCCUGGUUCUGAACUUGGAAAAAAACAGUAUUGCACUGUAUCUCUGUUGCGUCAACUCACCAAAAUGUACUGCUUGCAGGGAUCUGGACGGAAUUUGUUCUUAUUAAGGGCCCUGGAUGCCCACAGGCCCUCCCUCACGCAGUGAGGGCAGUCACCUGGCAUGGUGAUCCCCGGCAACCAGCCCGAAGCCACCGAUGAGCUCAGCGAUCGCAUCCCAAAUGCGGCUGAUGCCGGUGCGCAGGCUGUGCUGUCAUUUCCUGCCCAACAGCUUGCUGCACCUGUUCUUCUCAUGCAGCUGAGCAAGAUGUGCAUGCCUGCGCAUGCAUGAUACUGGUGAUGUGCUGCUUUUGCUCCUGCUUGCACUCACUGCCUUGCUUGGGUGUGCACAUGCAGACGGUGACAAUGAAGAGCUUUACGAAUUCUUCCCUGACCAUUCCGUGGAGAGCCUGUGCAACCUGUUUGAGCGCAUGGGUGGUGGUCAGGAAGGAGACAGUGCACCCAAAGCACUCAUAACUGUCACCCAGCUUGCACAGAGCCAAUCUGCUAAGCUGUCUGCCAAGG